rnacentral:tRNA from 1 species
GGCCUUAUAGUUAAAAUUUAACAUUAGAUUGCAAAUCUAAAGAUGAAUAUCACUUUCUAAGGCUU